CUGCUUGCAGGGUACUCGAGUGGCGAACGGGUGAGUAACACGUGGGUGAUCUGCCCCUGACUUUGGGAUAAGCCUGGGAAACUGGGUCUAAUACCGGAUAUGACCUUACAUCGCAUGGUGUUUGGUGGAAAGCUUUUGCGGUUGGGGAUGGGCCCGCGGCCUAUCAGCUUGUUGGUGGGGUAAUGGCCUACCAAGGCGACGACGGGUAGCCGACCUGAGAGGGUGAUCGGCCACACUGGGACUGAGACACGGCCCAGACUCCUACGGGAGGCAGCAGUGGGGAAUAUUGCACAAUGGGCGCAAGCCUGAUGCAGCGACGCCGCGUGAGGGAUGACGGCCUUCGGGUUGUAAACCUCUUUCACCAGGGACGAAGCGCGAGUGACGGUACCUGGAGAAGAAGCACCGGCCAACUACGUGCCAGCAGCCGCGGUAAUACGUAGGGUGCGAGCGUUGUCCGGAAUUACUGGGCGUAAAGAGCUCGUAGGCGGUUUGUCGCGUCGUCUGUGAAAUUCUGCAACUCAAUUGCAGGCGUGCAGGCGAUACGGGCAGACUUGAGUACUACAGGGGAGACUGGAAUUCCUGGUGUAGCGGUGAAAUGCGCAGAUAUCAGGAGGAACACCGGUGGCGAAGGCGGGUCUCUGGGUAGUAACUGACGCUGAGGAGCGAAAGCGUGGGUAGCGAACAGGAUUAGAUACCCU
rnacentral:rRNA from 1 species